UGGGGAAUUUUGGACAAUGGACGAAAGUCUGAUCCAGCAACGCUGCGUGAAGGACGAAGGUUUUCGGAUUGUAAACUUCUUUUGCAGGGGAAGAAAAAAAUGACGGUACCCUGUGAAUAAGCCACGGCUAACUACGUGCCAGCAGCCGCGGUAAGACGUAGGUGGCGAGCGUUACUCGGAAUUACUAGGCGUAAAGCGUACGUAGGCGGAAGUUUAAGUCUGUUGUGUAAUCUCCAAGCUCAACUUGGAAACUGCAACAGAAACUGGGCUUCUUGAGUGAGGCAGAGGAAAACGGAAUUCCUGGUGUAGCAGUGAAAUGCGUAGAUAUCAGGAGGAACACCGGUGGCGAAGGUGGUUUUCUGGGCCUUUACUGACGCUAAAGUACGAAAGCUAGGGGAGCAAACG
rnacentral:rRNA from 1 species